rnacentral:rRNA from 1 species
CUUAGUAAUUGCGAAUGAACAAGGAAAUGCUCAGCUUGAAAAAUGGGGCCUUUGGCUUUGAAUUGUAAUUUUGAAAUGUAUUGCCAAUGGAGGCGCAGGUGCAAGCCUAUUGAAAGAAAGCGUCAAUGAGGGUGAGAUUCCUUUUUGUCAUUUGCAGUCCUCCGUGCACGGUAUAUAUUUGACGAGUCACACUCCUCGGCAUUGGAAUGCAAAGUGGGUGGUAAAUUCCAUGUAAAGGUAAAUAUAUUAUUGAGACUGAUAGCAAACAAGUACCAUGAGGGAAAUAUGAAAAGGACUUUGAAAAGAGAAUUAAAAGAGUCUGCAUUUGCUGAACAGAAAGCAAACAGAAUUGAUUUUACUUGGUGAGAUUGUUGUGCUUACUCUAUCAUUUAUAUGGUUGAUGUGGGUGCGAUGGUUCUUACCUUGAAUGUCAGCUUCUAUUUCUGCAAAUCAUUACCCUUGCACAUGAAUGGUAAUUUGCCUGCGGGUAUUGGAAUGCAUGUGUUUGCAAUGAUUUGUGAUUUGACGCAUGUGUUUGGUGAAAUUUGUAUAUGCUCUUUUGUCGAAGGGGAAAGCUUACUUUUUUGAGCAUUGCAAGCCCUUACACAUCAGUGCUGGCAAAAUGUUUCUGCUUGACCCGUCUUGA